rnacentral:rRNA from 1 species
UACAGAGGUCUCAAGCGUUGUUCGGAUUCAUUGGGCGUAAAGGGUGCGUAGGCGGCGCGGUAAGUCGGGUGUGAAAUCUCGGGGCUUAACUCCGAAACUGCAUUCGAUACUGCCGUGCUUGAGGACUGGAGAGGAGACUGGAAUUUACGGUGUAGCGGUGAAAUGCGUAGAUAUCGUAAGGAAGACCAGUGGCGAAGGCGGGUCUCUGGACAGUUC